GAUGAACGCUGGCGGCGUGCCUAAUACAUGCAAGUCGAGCGAACAGACGAGGAGCUUGCUCCCCUGACGUUAGCGGCGGACGGGUGAGUAACACGUGGAUAACCUACCUAUAAGACUGGGAUAACUUCGGGAAACCGGAUCUACUACCGGAUAAUAUAUUGAACCGCAUGGUUCAAUAGUGAAAGACGGUUUUGCUGUCACUUAUAGAUGGAUCCGCGCCGCAUUAGCUAGUUGGUAAGGUAACGGCUUACCAAGGCAACGAGGCGUAGCCGACCUGAGAGGGUGAUCGGCCACACUGGAACUGAGACACGGUCCAGACUCCGACGGGAGGCAGCAGUAGGGAAUCUUACGCAAUGGGCGAAAGCCUGACGGAGCAACACCGCGUGAGUGAUGAAGGUCUUCGGAUCGUAAAACUCUGUUGUUAGGAAAGAACAAAUGUGUAAGUACCUAUGCACGUCUUGACGGUACCUAAUCAGAAAGCCACGGCUAACUACGUG
rnacentral:rRNA from 1 species